CUUUGUAGAUGCUGGCUGGCUCACUUUGUCCCCAAGUUCAUCUUAGAGCUCAAAUGAAUUCAAGACACGAGGCAGAGACAUUAGACCUGUGUCAAGGGCAAAAACUUCUGGUAGUAGCUCUUGGUGACGUCAAUCAUCAGCUCCUGGGUACAUUCUGGGAGCUCCCCUGAAAACAGUCCUGGAGAAAGAAAGACCUGGUCAACGAACUGGAGCCGAGGAAAGCCAGCAGUUUUAAUUUCCAUUUAAACCCCUAUGAGGCCCUUUUCUUUACUCAUGAGCAUCUAAAUGCUAGGUCUUCCAGCUUCAACACUAGCAGAAUAUUUUUACUGACCGUAUCUUCAAGAUGGAAUUUUUGUGUGUGGGGGGAGACAAACAAUAAUACAAAUCCUCGAAUGGAUAAAUAUCUUCCAGAUAAAAGCAGUUAGUACAUUAUUGUAUGAUUUAAAGAGUUAAGGCAUCUCUGACUACAUGGGAGGUUGUUUCAAAGAUUGGUCCAUCCCCUGGAUUGUGGUGUGACACCUACAGGGCAAGCCAAGGUGAACACCCUUUGAGGAUAUCCAUGUAUCACUUUUGUUUCCUCACGUGUUUGAUCAUUUGGAACACUGAGCUGAUGAAGGCUUUACCUGAUGGCAUUCUCCAAGCUUACCUGGGCAGCCUGAGAAGACAGUGAAUGGUGGCACCACAGUUUCUGGGGGUAAUACUGUGUUAUCAAGAAUUUUGCAGCAGUCUUUCAACACACACCGGCGCCCCUGAAAUUAAAAUCUUGUCACUAGGAAAUAGAGCAGGAAAUGCUUGAAUAAAAGUUGCCUGGUCUGCUGUAUGGAAUGCUAUUUUAUAUUUUCUCUAUCCAUGCUAUCAUAUAAUAGAUAAGGACAAUGACAAGAGGUUUGGUCACAAUUCCCUAUUUUGGGUGGCACCUGACAAGCAGGAGGUAGGGAUAUGAAUGUGCAUGCGUAUGUGUGCAUGUGUGCAUGAACUUG